rnacentral:rRNA from 1 species
UACAGAGGGUGCAAGCGUUGUUCGGAAUUCUUGGGCGUAAAGGGCGCGUAGGCGGUGCCACAAGUCACCUGUGAAAUCUCCGGGCUUAACUCGGAGCCUGCAGGCGAAACUGUGGUGCUGGAGUGUGGGAGAGGUGCGUGGAAUUCCCGGUGUAGCGGUGAAAUGCGUAGAUAUCUGAAGGAACAUCAGUGGCGAAAGCGACUUCCUGGACCAAUACUGACGCUCAUGUGCGAAAGCGUGGGGAGCAAACAGG